CCUGAACGCUGGCGGCGUGGCUAAGACAUGCAAGUCGAACGGGCCUAGCAAUAGGUCAGUGGCGGACGGGUGAGUAAUGUAUCGCUAAUGUACCCUAGAGCCAGGGAUAGCUGCCCGAAAGGGCAGGUAAUACCUGAUGAAAUAACUUGGUCGCAUGACCGAGGUCUCAAAGCAGCAAUGCACUCCUGGAGCAGGCGAUAUCGUAUCAGCUAGUUGGUGAGGUAACGGCUCACCAAGGCGACGACGCGUAGCCGGGCUGAGAGGUUGACCGGCCACAUUGGGACUGAGACACUGCCCAGACUCCGUAC
rnacentral:rRNA from 1 species